rnacentral:rRNA from 1 species
UUGGGAAUAUUGGACAAUGGGCGCAAGCCUGAUCCAGCCAUGCCGCGUGAGUGAUGAAGGCCCUAGGGUUGUAAAGCUCUUUCAACGGUGAAGAUAAUGACGGUAACCGUAGAAGAAGCCCCGGCUAUCUUCGUGCCAGCAGCCGCGGUAAUACGAAGGGGGCUAGCGUUGUUCGGAAUUACUGGGCGUAAAGCGCGCGUAGGCGGAUUGAUCAGUCAGGGGUGAAAUCCCGGGGCUCAACCCCGGAACUGCCUUUGAUACUGUCAAUCUAGAGGUCGAGAGAGGUGAGUGGAAUUCCGAGUGUCGAGGUCAAAUUCGUAGAUAUUCGGAGGAACACCAGUGGCGAAGGCGGCUCACUGGCUCGAUUCUGACGCUGAGGUGCGAAAGCGUGGGGAGCAAACAGGAUUAGAUACCCCUGUAGUCC